rnacentral:rRNA from 1 species
AACGAACGCUGGCGGCAUGCCUGACACAUGCAAGUCGAACGAGACCUUCGGGUCUAGUGGCGCACGGGUGCGUAACGCGUGGGAACCUGCCCUUAGGUUCGGAAUAACUCCCCGAAAGGGGUGCUAAUACCGGAUAAGGUCUUCGGACCAAAGAUUUAUCGCCUUUGGAUGGGCCCGCGUUGGAUUAGCUAGUUGGUAGGGUAAAAGCCUACCAAGGCGACGAUCCAUAGCUGGUCUGAGAGGAUGAUCAGCCACACUGGGACUGAGACACGGCCCAGACUCCUACGGGAGGCAGCAGUGGGGAAUAUUGGACAAUGGGCGAAAGCCUGAUCCAGCAAUGCCGCGUGAGUGAUGAAGGCCUUAGGGUUGUAAAGCUCUUUUACCCGGGAUGAUAAUGACAGUACCGGGAGAAUAAGCUCCGGCUAACUCCGUG